UGGGGGAUAUUGCACAAUGGGCGAAAGCCUGAUGCAGCGACGCCGCGUGGGGGAUGAAGGCUUUCGGGUUGUAAACCUCUUUCGCUAUCGAACAAGGCCCGCUUAGGGUGGGUUGAGGGUAGGUGGAGAAGAAGCGCCGGCUAACUACGUGCCAGCAGCCGCGGUAAUACGUAGGGCGCGAGCGUUGUCCGGAAUUAUUGGGCGUAAAGGGCUUGUAGGCGGCUUGUUGCGCCUGCUGUGAAAACGCGGGGCUUAACUUCGCGCGUGCAGUGGGUACGGGCAGGCUUGAGUGUUGUAGGGGUGACUGGAAUUCCAGGUGUAGCGGUGGAAUGCGCAGAUAUCUGGAGGAACACCGAUGGCGAAGGCAGGUCACUGGGCCAUUACUGACGCUGAGGAGCGAAAGCAUGGGUAGCGAACAGG
rnacentral:rRNA from 2 species